GAUAAAAUGGCUGAGGGUUAGGCAAUAGAUUGUAAAUCUAUUAACGGGGAGGAUUCCUCUUUUAUCA
rnacentral:tRNA from 1 species